AACAUCGCUUUUAGAUUUAUGUUAAAAGUAUAACCUGCCCACUGAAUGAUGAAGGGCCGCGGUAUUUUGACCGUGCAAAGGUAGCAUAAUCAUUAGUCUUCUAAUUAGAGGCUGGAAUGAAUGGUUGGACGAGGUGUUGGCUGUCUCAUUAAAAUCAAAUUUGAAUUUAACUUUUUAGUCAAAAGGCUAAAAUAUGGUUGGAGGACGAGAAGACCCUAUAGAUCUUCAUAAGUUACACCUUUACCUUUAUUUGUUGGAGUCGAGUUUAAGAAUAGGCUUAUUUCGUUGGGGUGACGAGAAGAUAAUAAAACCUCUUCUUAAUAAAUUACAUAAAUUAAUGAAUAAA
rnacentral:rRNA from 1 species